rnacentral:tRNA from 1 species
GCCGACGUAGCUCAAUUGGCAGAGCAGCUGCCUUGUAAGCCGCAGGUUAGGGGUUCGAGUCCCCUCGUCGGCUCCA